GCGUACUCUUUAGACGGUUU
rnacentral:miRNA from 1 species